rnacentral:rRNA from 1 species
GGUUACUGCUAUCGGUGUUCGCCUAAGCCAUGCGAGUCAUAUGUUCGUAAGAACAUGGCGUACUGCUCAGUAACACGUGGAUAACCUGCCCUUGGGUCCGGCAUAACCCCGGGAAACUGGGGAUAAUUCCGGAUAACGCACAUAUGCUGGAAUGCUUUUUGCGUAAAAUGGAUUCGUCUGCCCAAGGAUGGGUCUGCGGCCUAUCAGGUAGUAGUGGGUGUAAUGUACCUACUAGCCUACGACGGGUACGGGUUGUGAGAGCAAGAGCCCCGAGAUGGAUUCUGAGACAUGAAUCCAGGCCCUACGGGGCGCAGCAGGCGCGAAAACUUUACAAUGCGGGAAACCGUGAUAAGGGGACACCGAGUGCCAGCAUCCUAUGCUGGCUGUCCGGGUGUGUAAAAUACACCUGUUAGCAAGGGCCGGGCAAGACCGGUGCCAGCCGCCGCGGUAACACCGGCGGCCCGAGUGGUGAUCGUGAUUAUUGGGUCUAAAGGGUCCGUAGCCGGUUUGGUCAGUCCUCCGGGAAAUCUGAUAGCUCAACUAUUAGGCUUUCGGGGGAUACUGCCAGGCUUGGAACCGGGAGAGGUAAGAGGUACUACAGGGGUAGGAGUGAAAUCUUGUAAUCCCUGUGGGACCACCUGUGGCGAAAGCGUCUUACCAGAACGGGUUCGACGGUGAGGGACGAAAGCUGGGGGCACGAACCGGAUUAGAUACCCGGGUAGUCCCAGCCGUAAACGAUGCUCGCUAGGUGUCAGGCAUGGCGCGACCGUGUCUGGUGCCGCAGGGAAGCCGUGAAGCGAGCCACCUGGGAAGUACGGCCGCAAGGCUGAAACUUAA